UGGCUAAUUAACCUUUAAAAAACCUUGUAACUUGUGGUCUUGUGACUGUUGACCAAGAACAUCAGGUGAAUAUGAUGAAGACACUCUCACAGCUUCAUGAGACUGUAGAAGAAUAAUAAAUCAUGUUUUAAGACAUCUCCCUGUGGUCGCAUCCCUCUCAAAAUCCCGACAGAAAGAACUAUGACAAUUGAUAUUUAGUCCUUGCAACCUGAAAUGUUGGACUCCCCAUACAGAAAAACAGCUCCAUCCCAGAAUGCCGCCAGCACCAUCCACACAACAUCUCCUGGACCUUCUGAGACAGGCGCUCCAACAAGACGUGCUCAGAAACAGCCUCGGCCUUCUGGCUUCACCAGUCCUGUGACGAGCAAGAAGCAGAGGAUUGACCAGUAGCCCAGUUACAUCCAGCCAGGAGCUGGUGGGCACUUUUCUUCCUGGCUGCUGGCUUUGACGCCCCACUCCACCUCCUAGCUGUCUCCAAAUGUUGGCUCCAUUUCCCCCUGCAUUCAUAAGAUUUAAGACAGAGACAAAUAUUGGGGUUCCAGAAUCCCAACACUUGUGCACAGAAGACUACCAAGUCCAAAAAGACGUGAAGAGAACUGGGGAGACUGAAGCAGUAGUGUCCUUUGCAUUUCAAUGAAGGGUAGCCCCAGAUACUCUGAGAUGAAGACCGGGUGCCAGUAUCUCCACAAGAAGCUGUCCCACAUUCAGCGAUGAGGAUCUGAAUUUUGCAAGCAGCAAGUGGAGUCCUGGCAGCAGUUGUCUGCUUCAGCACGGGAAUCUAUGAACUCCAGCUUUUUUAUUUCAAAAAGAAGAUUAGUUGUUUUAGGAUUAUUCAAGUUAGCACUGAGGAGAUGAUUAGUUAUGAUUAGAACCUAAGCUUAGUUUGUCUAAGAUUAUAGAAUUUAGUACUGAACUUCAACAAUAAAGAAGCUGUGUUAUUGUUAA